rnacentral:rRNA from 1 species
GCCUCGGCGGGGUCACGCCCCGGGUGCGUCGCAGCCCCGGAACCAGGCGCCCGCCGGAGGGACCAACCAAACUCUUUCUGUAGUCCCCUCGCGGACGUUAUUUCUUACAGCUCUGAGCAAAAAUUCAAAAUGAAUCAAAACUUUCAACAACGGAUCUCUUGGUUCUGGCAUCGAUGAAGAACGCAGCGAAAUGCGAUAAGUAAUGUGAAUUGCAGAAUUCAGUGAAUCAUCGAAUCUUUGAACGCACAUUGCGCCCGCCAGUAUUCUGGCGGGCAUGCCUGUCCGAGCGUCAUUUCAACCCUCGAACCCCUCCGGGGGGUCGGCGUUGGGGAUCGGGAACCCCUAAGACGGGAUCCCGGCCCCGAAAUACAGUGGCGGUCUCGCCGCAGCCUCUCCUGCGCAGUAGUUUGCACAACUCGCACCGGGAGCGCGGCGCGUCCACGUCCGUAAAACACCCAACUUCUGAAAUGUUGACCUCGGAUCAGGUAAGAAUACCCGCUGAACUUAAGCAUAUCAAU